CUCAUUGCUGAGGAGUCCCACAGUAGGACGAAACGGCCGUCCAGGAC
rfam:Schistosoma mansoni strain Puerto Rico chromosome W, complete genome